UCGGGUGAACACCACUGUACAAAGGUUAAAGCUACCUUCCUCUGCAUAAACAGAGAUGUGUCCCAGCUGGUACUCGUUAGGUUUGAAGAACCAAACACUGGUAUUUUCUCAAAACAGCAGACACGACACCUCUCUCUUCCCAGCUACAGCUGUUUGAUGUUGCAGUUCUGGAGUCAUCAUAAGCAAAAAAAUCCUUUCUCCCUUGGAGGAGCCUGAGCCAUGCUGGGCUGCAGAGGACAGACAUCUCAGCCAUCUGGAGCACUUUGCACUGCCACAAGAACCAGUGGUCAAGAAUCCUGACUUCUGUAAGGAGCUGGCUUGUGAAGAGCUAAGACAUCGACAGUAGCCAAUGCAGACACGAGAAUUCGGUUGAUACAGCUGCAGGAUGUUUAAUAUAAACUUGAGCUGCUGCCACCCAAUUA